rnacentral:tRNA from 1 species
GGGGUUGUGGCUCAGUGGUAGAGUGCUUGUCUAUCGUGAGUGAGCAACUGGGUUCAAUCCUCAGCACCA